GUAGUUUUGCAUUUUUCACAACUUGACAUGAUACUUAUUCAUCCUGCACCUACAUUCAUCUGACACAAGGUGGUUCAGCUUCAUUCUCCUCCCUUCCUUCUGAUUGGCUGACACUUAACAACAGAAGGUUUGAACGGCAGCUACAGGACCUGGGUACCUGCAGUCAUUCUAUACCAACAUAUUCUAGAGUCAAAUGUGAGACCAUCUGCCCAACAGCCACAGCCUGAGCGACACUGUGUCAUGCAACAAGCCAAUGAUCCCAAGCACAGCAGCAAAUCUGCAGUAGAAUGAGUGAAAAAGACAAGAAUCAUGUGUUGCAAUGGUCCAGUCAAUGUCCAGACUGCAAUCUAACCUGACCUGAAAUGCUGUGUCAGGACCUCAGGAGAGCUGUGAAUAAAUAAAUGUCCACACACCUCAAUGAACUGAAGCAGCGUUGUAAAGAAGGCUUUGCUGAAAUUCCUCCUCAGCUAUGACUGAUAAAGUCACACAGAAAACCAUGACCUUAAGUUAUUGCUGAUAAAAGUGGAAUCAUGGGAUGUACUUACUUUUUCAAACACCACUUCUGCAUUUUGGCUCAGUUUUUAUUGAAUAACUCAGAAUAAGUCAGUGUUUAGAUAUAUGUAUCCCUUUAAAGUCUGAACCAUGAAACAAUUGCCAGAAAAUUCGAAAGUCUUUUUUGAACAUGGAGCAUUUAUUAAGCCUCCUGACAAAUAAAAAAAUAAUAUAUUAAUUUGCAUAGAUUAGUUUUAAUUUUUAUCAUAUUAGCUGCACUUUGCAUUUUUUUGCGUAGUAAUGUAUUGUGAAUCUCAAAAACUAAUAAAAACUGUAUGUAUCAAAUAUGAUACACUACGUGUUAAGAGGAUAUUAUAAACAAAAUUUCAUGAGUGCUGAAAGAAAGAUGGUCACACUUUGUGCAGUUACAUGAUGAAUAUUUUAUUUAACAACAUUAUAACUGGUUUGUACAGUACAAACAAAAAAGGCUGGGGUGCAUCACUGUUGUUGCACAGAAAAAUGUAAAGAAAAAAAAAAGGUAAAUCACCAGCUUGGUCUAUUUCCAUCAAAACAUAUGAUAAAUAUCACUUGGCUUAGUUUUUGGCUGCCACUCAAA